CACUCGCACGAGCAGUGCGCGCGCGCCGCGCUGCGUGCGCUCGCGCUCAUGGGGCUGGACGCGCCGCCGCAGCCCGCCGCGUGAGUACUGUCCCUACUGUCCCUGGCGACGGAGCCGCCGGUGAUGUGCCACGGCGGCGGGCCGUCCACACAGCACUCGCACGAGCAGUGCGCGCGCGCCGCGCUGCGUGCGCUCGCGCUCAUGGGGCUGGACGCGCCGCCGCAGCCCGCCGCGACAAACAGCCUGCCCGGCAGCAAGCCGGCGCUCAGCAACGGCGUGGCCGAGUGAGGUCCGACUGAGGUCCACACGCUCAACCCGACUAGUUCGUGUUCUCCUCUCGAUUAUUUGCAAUAUUGUCGUGAAUAUUUCACAGCGCGAAAUAAAAAGUUCGGGACGACUUCUACGAUAUAUAAAAUAUAUUAAUCGCAUAUUUCUAGCUAUGAUAUAUUCACUAUGACUUUUUCUUUGAUCUCGGGUAUUGUAACAGGCUAGUUUUCUGAAACGAAAUCGCGUUUUCCUAUUAUUUUAGUUUUACCUUGUAUAUUUUUGUUAUACGUUACGGUCCCAGGAGGGCUAUUUUAAGUUUAAUUGUUCUCGAACGCUUACGAACCGCCGCUCACAAACUAGCCGUAUAAUUUUAUAUACCGUUCGUUUAUGUUAUACAUUUUGUUAUCGACCACUGUUCCGUUUACACGGCUGCGCGUCUCGAUGUUAUAUGAUAGUUUCAAUUGAUUCAUAAUUAUAUACCCGCCACAUACUUAUAUAAAUUGGGUUAUAAAAUAUAGUUGAUUUAUACUAGGUAGUAAUCAAGACAUAAAAUAUUAAUAAAAUUACGUAGGAACGAAUAUUGUAACGAAACUGAGGCUGUGGAGCCAAACCAAAAGUUCGGUUCGGUUUGCGGCGAGGCCGGCCCGAGCAGCGGGCGAGGCCGGCCCGAGCAGCGGGCGAGGCCGGCCCGAGCAGCGAGCGCGGCCUCGCCGCCGACGCGCUAACGUUGCAUCAUGCGGCCAUGGUGUCUCCUUAGUUGUAGCAGUCGUAAUCGCCGCAGUCCUCCGCCGACGAGUGCGGCGAUUAAACUUGUGGCCUCGAUUUUAAACCACUCCAGUGAGUGAGCGUUUCAAGUCUCCCGCGACCCUAAGCUAUGAAAUGUGUAAUUCUAGACGUAAGGAUCACUCCGCGUGAGCGACCGUAUCGGUGGCCGCCGACCCGACCGACGUAGGCUAAGGUUGAAGGUGUCUGUAAUUUUAGGCUCUGUAACCUAUAUCUAACGCAUAUACCCGUAUUUAGCGUAGUGUUUGAUUAAUCGCAUUCAUAGCAUGAUUGUUCUUUCUAGGUGUAAAAAUAUCAUAAGUGUGAAUACAAUUGAUCGGUGAUUGUGACGUUAAUUUGUUUGUUUUGACGUGACGCCCGCCGGGACUAGGGACCGAUCAGUUGUAUCGUAUGGCUUGUACCGAUUGUACAUUUCAUUGUAUUGGGUCUGACGACGGCUGUAGGGUGUCGCGGAUGCUCGGCUUACACGCCCGCGUCGGUCGAACAGUUUUACGUCGAGUAAAACACGGCAACCCGCUGUAAGCCGACUGCGAGCCGCGACCGAGUAAGUUCUAUUCACAUUCUUGUACUUUACUAAUCGUAUAUAUAUUUAUAUACAAACGAUUUUUAAUCGAGGCCAUUUAAACGAUUUCUUCAUGUAGAAAGUUGCACAAGUGACUAAACAUUAAGAAGUUAUUAUUUGACAAAGAAAAAUGCCACAAGGGCUUUAAGAAGUGUUUUUAUUUAUUUUGUUCUAAGGAACUAAUAUUUAUAUUAUUUGAGUGGAGCAAGUCCCAACUGAACUUCGUGCUGUUAGCAACUUAACAUAUAAGUAUUCAACAAUAAAAGUUAUUAAACUUAAA